UCUUUUCCCGGACGGUCGUGUCCUCCUCGUCUCCAAUCAGCCAACGGAAUUUCGGAUCACUUCUCAGACGGACGGCUCGCCAGCCCUUGAUGGUGACGUAGCUGCACGCGGCGUUCAGGUCCCCUAAAAUCAUCGCGUUCUGCAGAUCUCUUUGAACACGACAUAAAGUUCAUCCAUCUCCUUCAUGGCCGUUUUGGGACUGGUGUGUUGGCCGAUGAGGACCACAUCCUUCAUUACUAAAACACAAAACAAAAACAAGAUGCUGCAGCCACAACAAGAUGACACCACCCCCAGCCAGCAGGAGGAGGAAGAAGACCACCAUGGUAAAUGGAUUCCACCGGAAGACACGUCGCUUCUGCGUGGGGAAAGCAACCAUACGGUGCAUUUUGUGUCCUCUCAACCAUCAAGACUCCCUCAGGUUUCACUUCGUCCUCUAAUGACUUCUGAACCAUCGCAUCCUUUUUCUCAACGUUGCCACCUUGGACAGCGUAAGAAGUGAAUUACAGUAAUAAUUCAUGUCUUUUGGAGAAAACAACGGCCGUUUAAAUCUUACGGUUCUGCUCUUUGUCUCUGAGAAAUUGGUUGUAUUCUUCCAGAAGACCCAUGCUGAACUGUAACUCCUUCAUGUCUUGUCUCUGAGACACCAGCUCCUCUGUCAGCGCAGCCUCUCUGCAUCUGGACAGCUACACAGCAACACUUUCAUCACCAAACACCUUCACAUUAUACACCUCUUAUGAAUUCUUCAUGAAACAUAUCUGGGAAUACUUCAAUCUGGACUUGCUGCUGUCGCAGUUGAUCCGUGCGGAGGUCUUGUUGCUGCCUGAGAUUUUCAGACGUUAGCUUGAGCUCCUCGUAAAGACUCUGCAUCUUCAGGACGUCCACCUUUGCAGUAAUCAGCGCUUCCUGCUGAUACAGCAAUUUGACACUGCAUGAAAGACUUGUGUUGACUGGUUUCAU